rnacentral:lncRNA from 1 species
UUUGUGUGGUAUCUCGUGCCUUGAGCUGGGGGCCUAUCGGAAACAGUCUUUCUACUUCUUUAGAGGUAGAGGUAUGGACUGCGUACAUCUUACCCCCCCAGACCCCACUAGGUGGGAAUACACUGGGUUUGUUAUUGUUGUUGUUGGUGGUGGUAUCGUUGGAAAGAUAAUUCAAUUAUCUAUCUAUUGGUGGGUCAUGAGCUCAAAAAUUCUUCGUAGAAUGGGAGAUAUUCUCAUUUGAAGUUGACUAUGGCAAUGUCCUUCUCAAAAAUUCAAUCGGUAAGGGAUAUUUUGAUUUGUCUAAUAGCUAGGACGUAUUUAAGGCCUUAAUACACAUCAAAAUUGAUCAUAAAACUACUAACUCACUAAGAUUUGUUUAACAUGAGCUUGAAUCAUGGUUCUACUAUCGGUUGGAAUUCUCGGGGUAUUACAAUAUCUCCUCCUUGGAAAUAUUCGUCCUUGAAUGUCUCUUGAUAAACUGAGAAUACGGAUCAAUAGAACUUACUUAAGACAUGGAAAUAUCUCAAGGAAUGACUACGCAACUGGAAUGACUGACAUACUGAUUUCUUACACUGGGUAUGCAUAUCUGAUGCAUGGAAUACUCAACUGAAUCUACUCAUAGCUGAAUUCUCAUAGCACAUAUGCAUAUCUGAUGCAUGGAUGUCCAACUAAACUGAUUUUCAAAAACACGACUUAACAAUGUAAUAACGACUGAUGAUAACUUCAUAAAGAAAAUCUGAACAUGCAUCUGGAUGAAUCUAAUGACAUGCAACAUCAUAAUACCAUGGGGCAUCUCCCCCUUGGGACUCUAUGUCUCUCUAAACACACUUCGUUGAAAUACUGGGACGGUGCAUGGGGCACCUACAGACUAGAUCGUAAUUGACCGAAUGAGAUUUUAAACUUAUGCAUGACUCAUGCUAACAUACAAGCUCGAAAUGGAAGCAAGGGAUCUAACAAUGCAUAUCACAAAGAUGAAGGGCUCAUAACCUACCUAGGUCUAUGCCAGGGAAAUCUUCACGAUCUUGGUGAGUCUGAAGUGCAUGAAAUUUGUUAUGAGUUGAAAAAAGAUUGUGCUGACUUCGGGGACCUGGCUUAGGACAAUCUCAAACUUUGUGACCUGUUUGGCCACAUCCAAAACACACAUCACUACCAGCUCUACAUACGCCCUUAUGAUUCUUACCUCAUUCUUCACACAGUGAGUAGGUAAGCCCCCUACUCUCACUACUCUGGAUCUUAAAGCAUCGUGCACUAGCCGAGGAUGGAGCAGGGACUAAAAGUUCUGACUAUGGUGAGAACGGCUACCACUCUGUGACCCUGCUUGGGAGAAACUAUGACUACUUGUUCUGGCUCUCUUACUCACUCUCUCUUUCUUUCAUUUUAUCUGCCUUAAUUUGUUGUGCAUGAAUUAUUAGCCUAAAAAGAUCCAUGUCUCUAUUGAUCUUAGCAUCUCUACAAUCUUUCAACGCAUCACUCGAUACCCCAGUCAAAAACUUAUUCAUACUCGUUCUAGGGUCAGCUAUCAAGUCGGGAACAUACUUAGAUAAUUGGUUAAACUUAAGACAAUACUCUCUCACGAUCAUAGAACCUUGACUUAGGUUCAUAAACUCUUCUACCUUAGCCUCUCUCAUCUCUAGUGGGAAAAAUCUAUCUAAAAAGGCACUCUGAAACUCUGACCAAGUCACAGGAGCUGCAUUCCCCCCUCUACUCUUCUCUUACAUCACUACCCAAUCAUGAGCAACAUCUUUCAGCCUAUAAGAUGCUAAUUUCACACUCUUCUCCUCAGAAACAUACAUAACUUGGGUGAUCUUCUUCACCUCUUCUAGAUAAUAUUGCGGGUCCUCACCUACUAUUGACCCAAAGAAUUCUGGCGGGUUCACUUUUAUAAAAUUUCUAACCCUAGCUGAGGCGGAAUUCCCAUCAUGCUGAGGUGGGGUUUCAUCCUGACGAUUACUCUGAAUAUCAGUCACAGCUUAGGCUAGCGCCUGGAAAGCUGCCCGAAACUCUGGAUGUGACACACUCUCAUUCUCAGGAUCUACUAGCUGUGGGGGAUGGUCAUCCACCCCAUGGACAAAAUCUCUACGAGGAGGCAUACUUUGUAAUCGAAAGAAAGAAGAGGAUUAGAUUGAGAAUCGGCUUGAGCUCAUGCUUAAUCGUACGACAUGAUCACUGAAAGAAGGGAAACUACUCCUAAGAACAUCUUGUAUCCUCUUCUACAUAAAUGUGGUGCGCUGCAUACCAUGCACAAGACUCUACCAGAUACGGCUUUUCAGACUCCCUAGGAUACUAUUGAACCUCAUACUCUGAUACCAAGUUUGUAACGCUCUGAGAUCCCAUCCCAAGAUGUCACAGCUUAUGGACCCAAAGGACCACAAGCUAACCCUUUACUGAUAUCUGUACCUGUACACUACAUAAUAUCUGAAAUAAAUACGAAAACUGGCCAUAAGGUUCAAUACAUUUGCACAUACUCAAAACUAAAAACUGAAUACUAAUACAUCAACAUCCAUUUGAAAAGCCUCUAAACUAUUUGAACUGUGGAGUUGAUGGGACAUGUCCCCAACUAACUCCGUCAACUGAAAAUAUAAACAAAAUCGGAUGCAACAAUAGUAAAUUAAGAUUCGUCCUCGAAAGAAGAGGACUCACUGCUACUGUUACUGACUGGGACUAAACUGAUGGGGAUACUCUAGAUCCUGUGCCUCUGAACCUAUGGUGUCAAAUAAAACACCAUAGCACAAAUGAGUCAGUACAAAAAUAUACCGAGUAUGUAGAUGAGGUAAGGCUAAAUGCAAGGGUUUGUGCAUGAACAUAACUUAACUGAAUAAUAUGCAAGAGCUGGAUUAGCAUACAUAAAGAAUCUGUAAUUACUGAACAUACUGCACAUACUGUCACUGAGUAUACUCGGAAUAACUCUAGUAACUAAUACUGAAUAUACUAAAAUUCUGAAAUUUCUGGACAUACUGAGACUACGAGUAUCUGAAGCUUCUGAAACUGAUAGCAACCCUAUCUAACAGGUUGUCUCCAAAUCUGCGGAUAAUAAUACUACUUAAUAACUGAUUUUGAGAUCAGCCUAUCUAGCAGCGGAUCUUCGAAUUUGCAAAUAAUCAUACUUGAUGGCAUGUAUCUAACAGCCUUGCAUUCUGCACACUGAACUGAGCUCUUUCUUGAAGUCUGAGACUGAUUUUGAAACUAAGACUGUGGGAAGCAGUCUUCUAAUCGACAUGCCCUGCCUAGCUAAGUCGGGGUUCAACCUAUGCCCUAGUUAGAAGGGUGUCAGUACCGCGCCACUGGUAAAGAUAAUUUUAUUUAACCCUCAUCUAUCAGGUACUCACACGAGAAUGGUGGAGCCCUCAUCUAACAGGUCAAACUGCCUAAUCUACCCUCAACUAGCAGGUAUGAUGUCUCAACCUACUCUGGCUACGUAGUUUAGAAGUGCAAGAAUUACUUCUAAGAAUCACACCCUAUACUAGUAGGUGAGUUCCCAUCCUUGAGCUCACUCGGUGCUGAAUCCUACUCCCAACUGAAAAACACUGAUCUGAUUCUUAACUAAACUUAGACUGAGCUGAAUCUGAUAGUGAUCAUGUUUCUCAAGAGAUCUGACUGAGUUACACUGAGAUUACUUAGUUCCGUAUCUGACGAAAAAAAGUAUCGAAUCAUGGUAUUUGACUGACGAUACAGAGGUUGAAUAGAUUACUCAAAUCACUUCUGAGAUUAGAAUUGAAUCAUUUGAAUACUAUUAGAUCUGAGCUAAUUUACAGGAAUGAGGCUAGAUUACUAGCGAUACAAUAAUUACAGAGAUUUUUGAGAUUACAGAGUUUUUUAUGUUCUGCACUUAUCUGAGGAUACAAAGUUCUGUAGUUCACUGAGUUCUGAGAAUCGUGGCUCGAUUGGAAUUAUUGCAAAACUGAUACCAGCUCUAGACAGCAGCUAUAUUGUUGAGUAUAAAUACCCCCAGGACUCGAUAACAUAAAAGUGAAACAUAAUCAUAUUUGCAUCAUCACGAUCAUCCAUUCAUCAUCACAAUCAUUCAUUUAUCAACACAAGCAUUCAAGCAUUUCUCCAAGUAAUUAGGAGUCAUAACAUCCUUUCCCCCUAAAAAAUCCUUAAGGAAUCACAUCAAGCAUUUAGGAAACAUAGGCCUCUAUUCAUCAUCACAAUCACCAAAGGGUCGCUUUAAGCAUCUCAUAAUAAUAAUCAUAUAAUAACAUAGAGAAAACAUGCUAUUAGAUCGUACUCCAUUCAACAAGGUUUUUAACUCAACUAUUUCAUACCUAUAUCAAUCUUGACAUAUGUUUGGGUAUCGCAUGGCUUAGGAAAACUUCAUGCUAUCAUGUCAUAACUUACUUGCUAACCAUUUUGCAUGUAUUAAAAACUAAGCAUAUGUCAAAGGGCACAUAAUUGGGGAAUUUACUACUAUCACAUCUCCACUUGUUCACUAAGGUCCUUCAACAAACACUAGACAUGCAUAGGUUCACACUUAUUUGGGGAUUUCACAAUAUCAUGGUACAAUUCAUUAACAACCAUUACACAUAACAAUAUCUUAGAAGUCAUUAUUUUUAUAAAGGUGUAGCAUGCAUUUGUCAUUAGAUCACAAUUUAACUACAAUUCUUGAUUUCUAGUCUCUUGGACAUUUUAUUGAACACCUCACAUGCACAACUUAGGCAUAAGUAUAAUAACCCAACUACUCAUCAUGAACAACCAACUUUACAUGUUUCCAACUCAUAUAAUAUCAUAGAUUCAUACAAACCACAUAAAUAUCCCAUCUUGGAGAUCAUUCAACAUCAACAACAAGUACAUAAUUCAUUUACCACACAAAUACCACAUACUAAGGCCAAGACUUGAUUCUUGUAGACAAACAUGAAUCACAACUCACAAGAAUCAUUAAAAAUUCAUAAACAUAAAUAUUGGAGAUUUAGAAAAGGGUACUUGAGCUUCUUGGAUGAAAGGGACCCAAGAAUUAACAUCUACAUACCUUGAGGAAACUUCUUUCCUAAAGGUUCUUGGAGAGAUUCUUGAUUUCUUGACUUUUCUUGAUUUUUCUUGAAGAAGAAAUAAGGGUUUUGAUCUUGAAAAUAAAUCUUAAUUUGAUGUUUUGGAUGAAGGAUAAGUUAUGAGCUUUGAUUUAGGGUGAUUGGGUAUUAAAUAGAGUGAAAAAUGACCCAAAAAUCUCUUUAAAACGGUGCUUCAGCGCUGUCUCGGACAAUUCUGACGGUCAGAGUGAAGGACCGUCACUCUGGUGACUAACCGUCACUUUUGGUCCAGAAAACGCCCUCACUGCUUCAGUUUUGACUGCCAACGUGGCGGGCCGUCACUAACUUGACGGUCCGUCAGCUUGUCCGUCACUCCUGGACGGCUCAGACAACUCUCAGUAAAACGGUCAUAACUUCUUACUCCAAUAUUGGAUUUUUGUGAAAUUGGUAACGUUGGAAAGAUAAUUCAAUUAUCUAUCUGUUGGUAGGUCAUGAGCUCAAAAAUUCUUCGUAGAAUGGGAGAUAUUCUCAUUUGAAGUUGACUAUGGCAAUGUCCUUCUCAAGAAUUCAAUCGGUAAGGGAUGUUUUGAUUCGUCUAAUAGCUAGGACGUAUUUAAGGCCUUAAUACACAUCAAACUUGAUCACAAAACUACCAACUCACUAAGAUUUAUUUAACAUGAGCUUGAAUCAUGGUUCUACUAUCGGUUGGGAUUCUCGAGGUAUUACAAUCAUAGUAUCAAUAUUUUCUCCGAAUUUAGCGAACAUUAUCAUAGUAUCAAUAUUUCCUCCGGAAUCAUCGGGCAUCAUCAUAGUAUCAAUAUUUCCUCCGGAAUCAUCGGGCAUCAUCAUAGUAUCAAUAUUACCUCCGAAUUCAUCGAGUAUCAUCAUAGUAUCAAUAUUUCCUCCGGAUUCAUCGGGCAUCAUCAUAGUAUCAAUAUUUCCUCAGAAUUCACCGAGUAUCAUCAUAGUAUCAAUAUUUACUCCGAAUUCACCGGGCAUCAUCAUAGUACCAAUAUUUCCUCUAGAUUCAUCGGGCAUCAUCAUCGUAUCAAUAUUUCCUCCGGAUUCACCGAACGUCAUCAUAGAAUGAAUAUUUUCUCUGGAUUUGUCGGGCAUCAUCAUCGUAUCAAUAUUUUCUUCAAAUUCACCGGGCAUCAUCAUAGUAUCAAUAUUUCCUCCGAAUUCACCGGACAUUAUCAUAGUAUCAAUAUUUCCUUCGAGUUCACCUGACAUCAUCAUAGUAUCAAUAUUUUCCAAGACAACAACAUACACAAAUAUAUGUCCCAAAUCAAUCAACAUACACAAGUUCACAAUAAUUGAGUAAUAGAAAUGUAAGAUACAUAAACCAUCACACUUUAUUACUAGUCAUCAUCAUGAAAUAUAAGUAGGAGAAUAAGCAUGAGUAUCUAGAUGAUAUACACAAUUACCAUCUUUCCAUGGCUAUCCAUAACAUGGCAAUAAGACAACCAAUCAAGUAUAUACAUUUUUCAACCAUCGACCUUAUUGAUAAACCGACAAUCGGGUUUAGCACUUAUUAUCUCAAUAACGUAAUUUAGACGCUCAUCAAGUAUCUAGGUUACAAAGGAGUUGCAUAAUUCAAGCUUAAGGUUGGUCAAGUCCCACUUCUAACUCCCAAUAAUACUAAAGUCACUUCUACAAGACUAACGUCUACCCGGAUUUAGGCUAGGUUAUCUAAGUCACACCAUGAGGGCUAAUCAAUCCUUACUAAGCUAAUAGGAGAAAUCUUCUUCAAGUAUUCUUCCUAAGUCAACCCAACACCAACGCCAUUUCAUAAUUAAGCAAUAUCUAGGUCAACAUACUUUUAAGGUCAUUAAACAACAUCACUCUCAUCUAGUAGAGCAACUAAAGUGUUCUCAUACUAUUUAUGAGGCUAUAUGUAGAAUCAUCCAAGGUUCUAAGCUAAUGGUCAACAAUCAUACUCUUACAAGUUUAACAACCUAUGAGAAUCAACUAAUCCCAAGCACCAUCAUUUAACCAUUUAUCAUCUAAAACACCCACCCAAUCUCACAAGAUAUCAAUAAAUAUAUUACAACUAAGCUCAAUCUAGCUACGGGUAAGCCUAACCUACCUCGAGUCCAAUUGCUCACGAAUCAACUAGCUUUGCCUUCUCUUUUCUUGAAGCUUCUUCUUCCAUGAGCCAAGCUAUCAACAACAUAAUCUAAGCAUCAUUACAAGAACAACAACACCCAUUAUGGCACCAUUAUGCCAUGGGUCCAAAAUGACACCAAACCCCCAAGUGGAUCCCACCUUCGAAAAAUAAGUUUUUGAGACCAACUCAUAGUCUAAUACCAUUAGGGAGCUAAAACCCUCAUAAAAUUUGAGUAAAUCAAUCACAUUUGUGGAUAAAAUUGAGCCUCAAAGACUUAGGGUUUUUGGGUUUAGAAAUCAAGAAAUUAAUACCAAAUUUAAAGGAAUCUUACCUUAGAUUUGUACCAAAAAUGGAUUACACAAGUUAUUCAAGCUCCUAAUCAACUCACAAGACUCAUUUUUUAGUCAACAAUCUCUCAUGGCUGCUAGGGUUUCCAAAGAAAUGAAUAAUGCCCCAAAAAUUGGCCUAAAGGGCCUUUUAUACGAGUUUAAAUGGGUCCGCAAGGUAAAAACUUAUUUUUGACCUCCCGGAUUUAUUCGGGCUCGCUUUUCGCAAAUGAACUAUGUAACCCUACUAAAUUUGAUAUUUUAGAUGCAUUGGUGAAGUUGGAUUUUUCAUACAAUGUCAUUUAGGCCACUCCGGGGCCCUACACCCAUAUAUUUCAUUUUUAACUUUUCGACUAAUGGGUCAAAAUGAGCUCGACUGCUAUGGGAUCUGAACCAAGGGUCUACCUACCCUAAAAUUGAUAUUACAUAGUUGCUGGUGCAGUCGAAAUUUGCAUCCAAAAUUAUUUUACUGAAGUUUUCAUUCGUUGACCAUUUGGAAUCGACUAAACUUCAAAUUGGAAAAAUAGGUCUAAAAACCAAACGAACCAACAGGUAAUCGAACUAUCGAUUCCAGCAAGUUACUAAUGACUUGGGACAGCUAUGGAGGAGCUAUAUCGGUGAAGAUAAGCAAGAACACGGCUAAUGACCUGAAUGGUCAUUACAACAUCCACUACUAAGGAACUUUCAUCCCCGAAAGUUAAAGAUGAGGAAAUACCUGAAGUCUCAAAUAGGUGAGGAUACUGGGCUUGCAUCUCUCCCUCUAACCCUUAAGUGGCCUCCUCCACUGGGCGGUGCCUCCACUGAAUCUUAACUACAGGAAUCUCUCUAGUACGCAACCAUCUCAUAUCACUGGCCAAAAUAAGCAUGGGCUCCUCUAUAAAGGCCAACUGCCCAUCUAACUGGACUGAAUCCCACCAAGAACCUGAGACGGGUCAGGAAUAUACUUCCACGGUAUGAAGACAUGGAAAACUGGAUGAACAGCGGUAAAGUAUGGAGGUAAUGCUAACUCAUAGGUCACCUCCCCAACUUCACGGAGAAUCUCAAAAGAGCCAAAGCAGAUAUACAUAGCAUAUAAACAGAAUGAAAACUACACCCAAGAGUCCAGAAAUCAUAUAAUAAGUCAAUAAGAAUAAUAAGGGAAAACUAUCUUAUUCAUGUCCAAGAGUCUAACAUAAUAAGACUAAGGAAGUAUCAUGGUGAACUAUAUUAUUUCAGCUACAUUCAAUAUACAUCAAUGCUAUACCAUAUAUCCCAGGUAUAUAUACGAAUAAGGAGUGAAAGAAAGAUAUAUAGUAAUAUACAAGGCGAAGUAACGACUAUACACAAUGAACAACGAACGAAGGGAUAUACGGUAGUACCAUAUCUUCAUAUAGCUAAAUAUAUAAAAAUAUAUAUAAAAAUAAAUAAAUAAAUAAAUAUACAUAUAGAUAUGAGGUCAUCUUAAAGCAUAACUUAUAUCAUCAUAUUCUCAUUUAGACCUCAUUAUAACACUUAUCAAGAUUUAAAUACUAUCACACUUGGGGUUUUUAAUCCACAUGGCUAGACAUGAAAUAAUCGUGCAUAAUAAUGCAAUCAUAAGAUAGGAGAGGCCGAAAAUGUACCUUAAAUCCUGAUACCGGAUCAAUGACUAAUCUGUCAUAAGCUAGCGAUAAUAAUGAUCAUAACAAUGACAAAAACAAUAUCAAUAACAGUGUGAGUAACCAGCUACUCCGGACAACAACCAAAUACCUAGCUGAGACUAUGCUUACCCCCACCACCCAGGCUCGGAAGGUUCAAUCAACAUACAACAACACAAGGCAUAUUCUUCACCAUAUCUGUCAUGUCUUGUUUUCGCCAAGGUUAAAUAAGCAUGACUUAUGGACUCUAAAUGAAUUGAUUUUAUUACAGAGUCGCCACCUAAUUUUUAAGAAAAAUAAGGAAACCUAUUAAAUUAUUAACAUGUGCGAUUUUAUGUUUCAAUCUGCGAAAAUCAAUUGAGAUUCUAGGUAAAGAUUCAAAUUAUCCCGAAGGAAAGAGAUUAAGCACCUUUCAGGAUCCACAAAUAUGGUACCCAGCUAGACUAAAUUUAUCAAAAAGAGAGAAGGUAUAUUUAAAAUAAUAUAAAAAUGUAUUAUUAAAUAUAAAAUAAUUCUUUUAAAAAAAAUUAACGUUUUAAAACUACAUAAAGGUAUAUAUAUAUGGACUGCGUACAUCUUACCCCCCCAGACCCCACUAGGUGGGAAUACACUGGGUUUGUUGUUGUUGUUGUUGUUGAAUAGAAUAAAUUGUUAUAAAAUAUGUAAAGGACAUGUAUAAAAAUGUAUAAAUAAGUGUGAAAAGAAAAAGUACUUUAUAAUGUAUGAAAAAGAAAUGUAUUUUGAUGUUUCAUGAAAAGAAAAAGUAUUUAUCAAUAAUAUUUUUUUAUCUGAUUAAAAUUAUGGAAAAAAGUAAAAUUUAUUUGAUAAGAAAAGACUAUAAAAUAUGAAUUAAUUGAUUAAC